UAGGGAAUCUUCCACAAUGGACGAAAGUCUGAUGGAGCAACGCCGCGUGAGUGAAGAAGGUUUUCGGAUCGUAAAGCCCUGUUGUUGGUGAAGAAGGAUAGAGGCAGUAACUGGUCUUUAUUUGACGGUAAUCAACCAGAAAGUCACGGCUAACUACGUGCCAG
rnacentral:rRNA from 1 species